UACAGAGGUCUCAAGCGUUGUCCGGAAUCAUUGGGCGUAAAGCGCGCGUAGGUGGUGAGUUAAGUCUGUCGUGAAAGCCCCGGGCUCAACCUGGGAAUGGCGAUGGAUACUGGCUCGCUAGAGUGCGGUAGAGGAGAGUGGAAUUCCCGGUGUAGCAGUGAAAUGCGUAGAGAUCGGGAGGAACAUCAGUUGCGAAGGCGGCUCUCUGGACUAGCACUGACACUGAGGCACGAAAGCGUGGGGAGCAAACAGG
rnacentral:rRNA from 1 species